ensembl:lncRNA
GGGGAUUUGCAAAGAGAAAACGCAUGAUGUUUCCCAAAAUGGCGGAUUUGCGAAGAGAAAACGUGUGAUUUUUGCUUAAAUGUGGGAUUCUUGAUGAGAAAACGCGUGAUUUUCGCAUCAAUGGGGGAUUUGCGAAGAGAAAAGCGCGUGAUUUUCGCUUAAAUGGGGGAUUUGUGAAGAGAAAACGUCUGUUUUUCGCUUAAAUGGGGGAUUUGCAAAGAGAAAACACGUAAUAUUCGCUUAAAUGGGGGAUGCUCAAAGAGAAAACGUGAUUUUCGCUUAAAUGUGGUAUUUCUGAAGAGAAAACGCGUGAUUUUCAGGUUCAAUGGGGAUUCUCGAAGAGAAACUGC